CCGGGUAGCUAUGUUCGGACGGGAUAACCGCUGAAAGCAUCUAAGCGGGAAGCCCACCUCAAGAUGAGAUCUCACCAAAUCAUUACGAUUUCUGAAGGGCCCUCGAAGACUACGAGGUUGAUAGGCAGGGUGUGUAAGCGCUGUGAGGCGUUGAGCUAACCUGUACUAAUUGCCCGUGCGGCUUGACCAU
rnacentral:rRNA from 1 species